rnacentral:rRNA from 1 species
CAGUAGCCGCGGGAAAACGUAGGUGGCAAGCGUUGUCCGGAAUUAUUGGGCGUAAAGGGCUCGCAGGCGGUUUCUUAAGUCUGAUGUGAAAGCCCCCGGCUCGACCGGGGAGGGUCAUUGGAAACUGGGAAACUUGAGUGCAGAAGAGGAGAGUGGAAUUCCACGUGUAGCGGUGAAAUGCGUAGAGAUGUGGAGGAACACCAGUGGCGAAGGCGACUCUCUGGUCUGUAACUGACGCUGAGGAGCGAAAGCGUGGGGAGCGAACAGGAUUAGAUACCCGGGUAGUCCCUGUCUCUUAUAC